rnacentral:sRNA from 1 species
AGCACCCGGCCUCGCCCCGAUUCCCGCGGGACCCUUCGAAUUUUAGGAACUUUUCACUAACGAAACACACUUCUGUGUCAGCACCGACAUCAAGAAGAGAACCUCACCAGCACCUCAGAACCCGCUUUGUCCCUCCCUGGUUCCUUCCCCUGGGUGCCUGGUGUGCUGCCGUCUCUCACUCGGGAGCUGGGGGCUCCCAGGUGCUCCUCCAACAGCUCAGUGCAGCAUGCUGGUGGGUCAGGGCCGGCACCUGUCCCUGGGGCCUCAGGCCUCCCUUCCUUCCCACAGCGGCCGAGAUCUCGGGUCUCUACAAUGACUCGGAGCCACCCCGAAAGACCAUGUGCAGAGGGGUGCUGAUGACCCUGCUGCAGCAGUCGGCCAUGACCCUGCCCCUGUGGAUCGGGAAGCCUGGUGACAAGAGACUACGUGGCCAGACCUGGAGACAAGGUGGCUGCCCGGGUGAAGGCCGUGGAUGGGGAUGAGCAGUGGAUCCUGGCCGAGGUGGUCAGUUACAGCCAUGCCACCAACAAGUGAGUGACACCAGCCUUGGG